AGAAGGUGUGCCUUUAUUAGGUGAACCUGCGCAAGGGAAGCUGAAUGAGGCCGCAGAGAAUCGGUGGCUGCGACUGUUUAUUAAAACACAGCACUCUGACAAAGACGAAAGUCGACGUAUAGGGUGUGACGCCUGCCCGGUGCUGGAAGAUUAAAUGAUGGGGUGCAAGCUCUUGAUUGAAGUCCCAGUAAACGGCGGCCGUAACAAUAACGGUCCUAAGGUAGCGAAAUUCCUUGUCGGGUAAGUUCCGACCUGCACGAAUGGCGUAACGAUGGCCACGCUGUCUCCUCCAGAGACUCAGCGAAGUUGAAAUGUUUGUGAUGAUGCAAUCUCCCCGCGGAAAGACGGAAAGACCCCAUGAACCUUUACUGUAGCUUCACAUUGGACUUUGAAUAGAUCUGUGUAGGAUAGGUGGGAGGCUUUGAAGCCGAGACGCUAGUUUCGGUGGAGCCAAUCUUGAAAUACCACCCUGGUGUGUUUGAGGUUCUAACCUUGACCCGUUAUCCGGGUUGGGGACCGUGUGUGGUGGGC
rnacentral:rRNA from 1 species